rnacentral:lncRNA from 1 species
CUGGAGAGAACAACACGCGGGGACGGCAGACCAUGCCAAGAUUUAGGCGCAUUGGUGUCCGUUUUCUACCGACGCCUUUUGAAUUGGUUGACGACAAUCGUGAUGGGGGCCCGCCGCCGGCACCUGCUUCUGCCGAGGGGAAUGAGAACCAUCCUAAAGAGAGACGAGAUGGGUGGUCAGAGAUAGAGCUAGGUGAGUUCUUGACGAAGGAUGGAGAAGACGGGGAGGUUGAAAUGAGUGUCAUGGAGACGAAGGGCGGCAACUGGAAGGCCGGGCUGGUCGUGGAGGGGAUCGAAAUAAGGCCCAAGGAAGGGAAAGAAUAGUGCCUUUAUGCAGGGCUUGCGUCAGUUUGUUCUGUCUCUUGAUUAAGAGCCUUUUCUCUCUGCUUCGUUGUUGUUAUUAUAAUGUUCUUUUUAUCAAAUUGUAGUAGCUUUCUACCAAAUCAGAAAGCGUGCUUGUGAUCUAAUAUUCAAUUCAAUGUAAGCGGGAAAAGCAUAUGUCACGGAGUGAACGCCCAAUGCCUUUUGCAUAUGAUGGGAAUUAGAUGUAGACUUCCACGGACUCACCCGGACACUCAAGUACUGUUUUUAUAAAACAUCUGCAAAAUGAUACCUUAUCUUACUACUCCAACCACCUCUGUUGGUAUCGACGGGAAUAUAUGUGACUCCAUUGAUGAUAUACGAACGCAAUCUCUGCGGUGCGCUGGUGCCUGCGCCUCUCUUCCGGGGUAAAAGAAAGAAAAGCAGAGUCAAAGCCAAUGACCGGGCUAAAAUAAUUUCCUGUUGACAAGCUGAAUGUUGUAGCACAACUCAUAAAAACUGGAGGCGCCUUGCCAUGCAGGACUGGUGAACCGUCUUGGAGGCGACUUUUAUCUGGCGGUCAGGUUCAACCAUGAAAACUCUGCUUACUUCUCCUUGUUAAUUUCCUAGUUUUCUUGGAGUUUUCGUUGUUUUGUUGGAAACGAAAGGGGCCUAGUGCCGUUUUCUGAGACCAAAAUAAGGGAAAAAACCCGGUUUUCUUCGUGAGGGUGGGGUUUGCUCGAAUCUGAGACAACCAUUCUUAAUCCAUUUAUGGAGCCGAUAGCGUAAACUUUCCAAAGGAUUAAGGGAGAAAUUGUUCUCUUCGGAUCUCAAUAAGCGUUUCAUGUAUGCUAAUAAAAUGGAAAGAAGCCCCUCCAUUCGCAUCCAGAUUAGUCAGGGCCAAAGGCUCCGGAUACCGGGUGGUCACUGACCGAAAAAAAAAUGGAAAGGAGUCGUACUUCAGCAAAGGAUGCAUAAACACACGAGCACAUAACAAAACGAUAAUGACAUGAAAACCUUGAUCCGCAGCAAUGCCGGACAGCUCUUCAGGUUUGCCAUAUCGUUGAAAAUGCAGCACUGCCGCUGUCAACAGUCGAACUCCGCAAAUUUAUCGCCGCGUUUACCGCUGGAUGAGUGGCUUCUGGACUUGAUGGAACUCUUGUAGUCUUCGAAUCAGCCACGGCAACUUUGCACUUGAUGUUUUUUCAACAGGUUGGUUCUUUGCAUACAAAAACUGGCAACUACGCGCAUGCCAAACCUCUGCAAUGGCCCUCAAACUCAAUGCCAGUCCUUCCUAACCUUUCAGUCUACCUCCCUGUACAGCUCACGGCGCGCCAUCGCUUCGCUGCUCAGGUCAAAUGCGUUGGACAUAGCCAUCAUCAACACCAUCAAAUCCGCCCCCGAAGAAAAACGUUCCGAUAACUUGGUCAUAGUUCCACUUCCCUGCUAGUGCACUGGAAGGAUUUACUUGGCACGAGGCCGCUUAAUCUUAGGUUUUGUUCAGAGAUGCGAAUUGCAGAUCUUCAAGGCAAGUUGAAAUGGCUGUGUAAAAGCGGGGGUGCGUUUUGGAUAUGCCCAUGGCAUUUUUAGUAAUCAAAUCAACAUUUUUAUCAUCAGUAGAAAAAUUGUUAAUGAGCACUUUGAGGGUACUCGUAAAAAGACCCGUUCAAGGAAAGAUAGCAGUUUGCAAUACUCUCCCUUUCUCCUUUUAUGUGUAAUUAUGCAUCGAAAAAACAAAAAUAUUUUGGUAUCAAGUAUAUUUAAUCAUUGCCCUGGACACUCACUAACAAAGACCUAAAUAUUCCAUUUUCAGGACUUAUAUUGAAUUUGAAUAUGUCUUUUGCAACCCAAAAGAAUUCAUGAGAGGGUUUAUUUCAUUUUUGGAUAUGCAUCAAGUAGGUUCAAGAGAUGAGAAAAUUAAUGAUAUAUAUGUUCAAGAAUUAACUCGCACAGUAUAGGGUUCAUGAUCAAUGAUUAAUCCAGUCCCUUUAAAAUCAUGCUUACCCAUCUUGUCUCUUUUGGGUAACAUGUGAUUCAAAAUAUCUCAUUAUCAAACAUAUUUAACCACUUUUACCAAAAAAAAAAGAAAAAACAUAUUUAAUCAGUGCUUUGGAUAUUCGAUCACAAGACCUAAUCAAUAACAAGGCCCCGAUCAAUAACAAGGCCCAAAACAAAUUCCAUUCGUUUUUGAUGCCCGUUGAAGCGAUGGAGUCAUUACCACCCUACCAUUUACUUGUCUCAUAAGAAAUGAUUUGCUGCGCUCAAAAUGCAAUCUUUGGUCAACCUUCUUUUUAAGAGGGCAUCCAUCUAAAAUACAAUAUAUUUAUCGCUUUCUUUAAAUAUUUUCCUCGUUUCCUUAGUCAUUUCCACUCUCUCUCUCUGGAUGUCCUUUUCUGCCGGUUGCUGAUUCAGCAGAGACCCUCCAUGCCCCAAACCUUUGGCACGAAGAUUCCUCUGUCUUUUUGUUUUUUUGGUCACUGCCAUUAAGAUUUCACUAUCCAUUGAUUUGACAACACCUCCUCUCUCAAUCACUCUCUGUACAUCAUCAUCAUCAUCUCCUCGAAAGGCGUUGCCUUUACACCGUUUUGGCUACACCCAUCACCGGAGUCGUAAUUUCUCUCCCUACUUCUCUGUUUCCUGUAUAAACUCGACAAAUUACGCUGUGAAUCGCCGCCGCCUCGUCGAAAGGCGUCGCCUUUACACCGUUUUGGCCACACCCAUUAUCGGCGUCCCUGGUAUUUCUCUCUCUGCUUCUCCGUCUCUGUGUAGAUUCGACGAAUUACGCGGCGAAUCUCCGUCGCCCCGUCGAAAGGCGUCCCCUUUAAGCGGUUUCGGACGCACCCAUUUUCUUGGAUUUUUUUUUUUCAAUGGCGGCGGCCGAAGCGGCGAAGGGUCGAGACGGUCCCGACUUCUCGGAGCUGCCCGAAGGGUGUAUCGCCAGCGUCGUCUCCUUCACGAGCCCCGCCGACGCGUGCCGGCUCGCGCCCGUCUCGUCCCUCUUCAAGUCGGCGUGCGAUUCCGACGCGGUGUGGGCAUCGUUCUUGCCGCCGGAAUGCCGCCAGAUGGUGCCCCGGAGAGUCUCGUCGCUGAAGGAGCUCUAUUUCAGCCUCUGCGACGACCCGGUUCUCGUCGACGAUGGCAAAAUGGUAAGUCUUCCACCCUCAAACCGCCUCUUCCUAUUCUUUUUGCAUUAUAAUUUUUGCUGCGGACCGAGGGGGUGAUGCGCGAUAGCUUUUCUUCAUGUUAGACUUAAUAGAAUAUUGAAAUGUGAUGCAUGUGAUGUGCUGUCGCCUGCACGUUUCGACACUUUGCGAAUUCGGCUGGCCAAUAAAAAAAUAAAAUUGUUGUUUCAUUGUCGAGUAGUCGGCUCUGAAGGCGGUGUCGUCAGCACAUGCUUCUUGGCCUCUUCCCGCCUGAACCGAGUGAAUGCAUUUCUUCAAGGAGAAGCUAUUGUCAUGUGAUAAUCACGCUGUGGCUUCCACUGGACAUUAUUCUUUUGCACACGGCCGCCAGCCGCACGUGGAAGGUUGAUUGAAUUGUGUAAAUGAACCAACUCAAUGGUUUAAGUCUGUGAGAUAAAUAAUGAUAAAUGAAGGGUGAAAAGGAUCUUUCAUUUGAAAAAUGACAAGAUCCAAAUGGCUUGGAGCAAAGAAUGGAUAAAUAUAUUGAAUCACUUAAUUUACAAUGCUAAGAGCAUGAAGAUUAUCAUUACUUUAAUCACUUAAUUUACAAUGCUAAGAGCAUGAAGAUUAUCAUUACUGUUGAUAGCGUACCUUGAUGACCACUAAUGGAAUGCAUCUUUAGGGGUGAAUCUGUAUAUGGCUUUAAGACUGUCUGUUACCUUUUGGUCUACUUUUUUCUUUUCAGUUAAUUGCUCAAAAUCCUCCCAAACUUUGUUAGCAUUGCUAUUUAGCCCCUAAACUUUAAAUUGGCACCGUUGAAUAGUGGCCGUGUAACUUUGAAAAGUUACAUUUUACGCCGGAGUUUUGAUUUUUUCUUUUUAGUGGUUAGUUUUCCGUCUACAUAACUGGUAAGUAUUAUCAGAAAACGGAUAACGCAAUUCUUUUGACCAAAAUAGUCCCUGCUGAAUUUUCUUGUCUUCAUCAAUCAUGUAUCUUUUCUAUUUUGUUAACUUUAUCAACCAUAUAAUAGUGCCUCGACUCGGUUGAGUAAUGUAGUUCGCUCAGCUCGAGCAGCGGACUUGUUCUAUUUUAGUGGAAAGACAUUUCUCUUUGGGAAAAAACAUAAUCUUUCUAUAUUUGUUUGUUAGAGUAAGACGUGUAUUUUCUUGUAACAGUUAACGCCUAUAGAGAUAGAAUAACCAGCGAUUGCAACAAAAAAAUCAAAGUUUAUAGGGGAAUGUGUAACUUUACAAGUUUUUUAGGGGUCAUUAUGCAAUGGUUCUAAAGUUGAGGUGGUUUUAAACAAUCACUCCUUUCAUUUUCUUUUGGUUGCUUUUGUGUGGCGUGAAACGUGUUAUCCUACUUCAAUCUUGGCGAUAAAGUCAAUCAACAACUUUUGCUAAAAAAAGCCAAGACAAGCACUCUCACUAUUUUAUUGGAAAGGGACAGCACAUAUGGUGGAAUAAGUGCUAAGAUGUAUUGCUUUUGCGUAUAUUAUAUCUGCUGAAACAGUGAAUUUCAUUUACUCAAAACGACUUUGGUUCAGUUUCUUGUUGCUCACGUGAAUCCAACAUGCUUUGCAGAGCUUUUCGCUGGAGAGGCACAGUGGGAAGAAAUGUAUCAUGCUAUCUGCAAGGGCCCUGUCUAUAACAUGGGGUGAUACUCCCAGGUACUGGUCUUGGAAUCCCAUGACCGACUCCCGGUAAAAACAUUAUUUCCUCCACUCUCUCACCUUCAGGAAGAUAGUGGGCGUACAUUAAUUGUUCGUCUCAACAAUACAACUCCCUUUGUCUCUCCGUCGUGACGAUCGAAUGGAAUGUCUUUGGUCAAUAACAGGUUCUCAGAAGUUGCUGAACUCAUCAAUGUAUGUUGGCUCGAGAUCAGAGGUAGAAUUAGUUCUCGCAUGUUGUCGCCUGGAACCCGUUAUGCAGCGUACUUUGGUAUUUAAAUCCACUCCGACAUUUUAUGGAUUUGACUUCCAGUCUGUUGAGGUUGGAGUUGGAUUUGUGGAUGAUGAAGCGGGUAAGCGUGAGCGCUCGGUUUACUUAUCUGGAGAGAACAACACGCGGGGACGGCAGACCAUGCCAAGAUUGACCGUGCCAAGAUUUAGGCGCAUUGGUUUCCGUUUUCUACCGAUGCCUUUUGAAUUGGUUGACGACAAUCGUGAUGGGGGCCCGCGGCCGGCACCUGCUUCUGCCGAGGGGAAUGAGAACCAUCCUAAAGAGAGACGAGAUGGGUGGUCAGAGAUAGAGCUAGGUGAGUUCUUGACGAAGGAUGGAGAAGACGGGGAGGUUGAAAUGAGUGUCAUGGAGACGAAGGGCGGCAACUGGAAGGCCGGGCUGGUCGUGGAGGGGAUCGAAAUUAGGCCCAAGGAAGGGAAAGAAUAGCGCCUUUAUGCAGGGCAUGUGUCAGUUUGUUGUGUCUCUUGAUUAAGAGCCUUUUCUCUCUGCUUCGCUGUUGUUAUUAUAAUGUUCUUUUUAUCAAUUUGUAGUAGCUUUCUACCAAAUCAGAAAGCAUCAAUCUUAGCGGGAAAAGCAUAUGUCGUGGAGCGGAUGGUUUGUGAUCUGGUUAAUGAACGCCCAAUGCCUUUUGCAUACGAUGGAACUUAGAUGUAGACUUCCUCGGACUCACCUGGUCACUCAAGCACUGUUCCUGUAAAACAUCUGCAAAAUGAUACCUUAUCUUACUACUCCAACCUCCUCUGUUGGUAUUGACG